CCCGAGCUUUACUUUUAUGUACUUCCAAUAAUGCAAAUGGGCGACUCAAUAAUUUCUAAUGCAGAAAUUUACAAAACAAUUAGGAAAUAUCGAGAUUUUGUGGAAUAUGUAAUCCGACUUUUAAAGAUAUCCCGGAUAGUUGGAACAGUUUACAUGCAUGAUAGGAGUGAAUACGGUAAAAUCGGUUGCCAGUUUGUGUAUGAACUUGUUCUCACGUAUAACUAAAUUUUUAAUUGACAAAUAGAGUGAUACUCAGUACUUUUUUAUUACCUUUUAUGAUAAAAUCGUAAAUGAACAAUACUCAAAGUUCCUUACAUGUAUAUAAGUAGUACAUUUGAUUUUUUUUUGGGUGUUUAUUCAUAUAAGAUCUUGAAAUAUUUUUUUAACUAGAUUAUCAAAGGAUUGUGUACGAUAUUCGUGUACCUGCCCUACAUUGGCUCCUUGUUAAGGGCAUGUAAAAGUAGUUGAUAGAACCCCUUAUGUUUUUUUUAAAAACACCACUAUCACAAAUAUUGAAAGUGUAUGUUUGAUUGUUUCGAAGAGAU
rnacentral:lncRNA from 1 species